rnacentral:rRNA from 1 species
GAUGAACGCUGGCGGCGUGCCUAAUACAUGCCAGUCGAGCGAACAGACGAGGAGCUUGCUCCUCUGACGUUAGCGGCGGACGGGUGAGUAACACGUGGAUAACCUACCUAUAAGACUGGGAUAACUUCGGGAAACCGGAGCUAAUACCGGAUAAUAUAUUGAACCGCAUGGUUCAAUAGUGAAAGACGGUUUUGCUGUCACUUAUAGAUGGAUCCGCGCCGCAUUAGCUAGUUGGUAAGGUAACGGCUUACCAAGGCAACGAUGCGUAGCCGAUCUGAGAGGGUGAUCGGCCACACUGGAACUGAGACACGGUCCAGACUCCUACGGGAGGCAGCAGUAGGGAAUAUUCCGCAAUGGGCGAAAGCCUGACGGAGCAACGCCGCGUGAGUGAUGAAGGUCUUCGGAUCGUAAAACUCUGUUAUUAGGGAAGAACAAAUGUGUAAGUAACUAUGCACGUCUUGACGGUACCUAAUCAGAAAGCCACGGCUAACUACGUG